CACAUGUAGGGUUCUACAAUUUUAACAACUGGGAAAUGACAUGACAGAACAUGACUUCAGACUGAAUCAUUUCAAAUACUGAAACCAGGGCGGACCAUCAAAGCAACGUGACAUCACCACUCACAUAAACAUUCAAACCACUUUGAACUGGCAUUAAUUGCCGUGUUUUCUGUUCACAUUAUAACCUUUCCACGUGUAUGUUCACGCUGCGUCAAAUACCACACACUGAGGGUUAGGGUUAUGUGAACCGCAGAUCUGGGCCUAAACGGACAUGUGAUCUAAUGGCGUUGAAUAACAUGCAAAAUGACAAAAAUGUGUCCAUAUAUGUGACCUCUGGUCAUGUGACCUCUGCUCUGGACUGGUUUAGUCCUUCAGGUUUGAAUGGAAAUCUGAGAAACCAUCAUCCCAUGGUGCUGGUCAGACUGUAAACCAGUAGACUAAACCAGUUCCCCUUCAGAUCAGCUGUGCCUGUUCUUCCCUUCAGGUCCCAUCAUCAGCUCCAGGAGGCCAUCUAGUGGUCUGACAGUAGAACUACAGCACAACCAACACACACACACACACACACACACACACACACACCACACACACAAACAGAUCAGCCAUUACACUUCAACUCACACUCACCACAAACACCUUCAUGAACUCACAUCUACAUUAAACACAUACCAUAUGAGAUGUGGGACGCAGGUCUUGGUCCAAAAACCCUGAGUCUGGUUUAUCUCUGACCCGCUGGUCCACAUCAGACUCUUCUCCAUCAUAGAACCAUGUCUCAAACUCUGCUGUUUUCAGUGUUUGUCGUGUGACUGAUGUGGAUUCAGCAGAAUGGAUCAGUGUGGGGACAGAGAGGAGGGAGCCCCUCCCCCAAAGACCACCAACAGGAUCCCCCCGGGACCUGGACUGGACAGACCCCCUAAAGCUCAGAGACCUGGACCAGGACCUGGAAAAGGACCCAGCUGUGUGUCCAUGAAGAGUACUGACUCCAAACACUGGCCAAUUUACUUCCAACAGGAUGGUUCAUCAGAGCCAGCAUAG
rnacentral:lncRNA from 1 species